AGAUUCUCCUCACCAUCCAUGGAGAGCAAGGUUCUUUGGCUGACCUUAUCUUAGGACGUGAUGGCUUUCCCUCUGGAGCUACCUCUUUCUCCUUCUCAAUUAGAAAAAUAUCCUGGAAACAACUUGCUCUGGUCUGGACUAUGUUUCCCAUAAAUGUCUAAGUGAGACCAGAUGAUUCUUACUACCCAUGUGGCAAGGAAACAUGCAAAAUAAGCUACAAAUAAGAGCAAUGGAUGCGAGACCUUGGCUUGUACUAGUUAAUCCUCCCAUGGAGCUGAUCUUGGCUUUCCAAAUUGCAGCAGAAAUGCAACUGGUAAACAGCUGCAGUGAUUUUUCUUUAGUACUUUGCACCAGGUUGUACUGAGCAACAGCAACAUGCUGAUGUUAAGGGAUAUUGUGAGUGAUUUCUAGAGAUAUUUUUUACUCUUGAAGAGCAGUAGGGAGACGGUUUAAUCCCUCUCCGAUAAUUACUUGAUUCCUCCACUUGUAUACAAAACUUGAGUUGGCUUUCUUCUCUUUGAGCAUGUUCUCCCUGUAGUCUGCAUCAUGAAAAUACAAAGGCAGUAGUACAGGUCUUCAUGUUUUUGCUGUCCUGCCUCUUUUCUUAAUACUUUCAGCACUAUUUCAGCUUCAUGUUUGCCCCUGCAUUCUUACUCUGAUCUGGGACGUCUACCAGCUGCUUACAACCAUAUCCUGAUGCCAUCUGGGAUGCCUAGGCUGCAGCAAUAGGAUGACAUUCAUAAUACUGGACUUCUGUUUUUGCCUUUUUGAGGGAGAUGAAAGCACUAAGCAACUUCUCUGUGAGCUCUCAGGUUCUUGCAGGAACAUGCUACUAACAGGCUGACUCCCAAAAGCAAAGAUCUUUUCCUGCUCCCAUGGAUUGCUAUGAGAUGUGUGUGCACCCUACACUUCAGAUUAACAAAUGCUGUAACCUGACAAUGGUGUUUCACAAUGUGCUAUUCCAUUCACUGCAGCCUGCUUGAAAUGAGGAAGGUGGAGGAGUAAGAAGAAAAGACUCCUUUAAGCCCAUAGAGAAGCAUUGGUGGCUGUAAGAGCUAUUUAAAGAAGUAAAGCCACUUUAGCUUGUUGAUCUAUUUCUGCACUGUAAUUUAUGCUGCCAUUCACGCAGUGUCAGAAAGCUAUUGUAAACCGUUGUAUAAACCCACCCUGUAGGCUUGAGGGGCUCUAGUCCAUGGGUCUACCAUCACUAGCAUACUGGUGAUAGGAUAAUAGCAGGUUUCACUCCUAAAAGUUCUUUAUUUUGGGGGGGUGGUGGUGGGGGGUGUUAAUGUACAAGAGUAAGAAUUUUAAUGAGUCCCAAUAGACCACCCACUUAGCUAUUAGCAAUAGGCAAGCUACAGCGUAUGCAUCCUGGUAGAGGUGAGUUUUGAGGAGAGAUGUGAAAUACAAGUUAGGAGCUUUCACAAAUGAUUUGUGGAAGGCACUCCAUGAAAUACCACAGCAUUGAGAUAUCGCAGAAGAAAGCCCAGGCUGGGAAAUUGCUUUGGAGUAGCAGCUGGGGGAAAGAUAGCAUUUCUUUGAGCACUGCUACUCUCAUGAGAAGGGAAACUAGACUAAAGAUGUUUCAGGAGGAUAAUGUGUGCUGUGAGCAACAGGGGAAUAUACAGGACAAUGGCAUAAAGGAAAGAUGCUGAGGACAAGGAUCCAUCUCAAUUAACAUUAAACAUUUAGUCAUCUUGGCUGUUUGUGGUCAGUGGAGUAUGAUACUUUGAAGGCAUGAUUCAUCUGACCUGUUUUGGGCUCUAACCUACCUAGGAUGAGGGUAAUUACCCUUUAGACACGCCUGUUUCUUCCUACUGAUUCCGAGGGGAUCUUCAGACACAUAGAACAGGUACAGACCUCUGUAAUUUAGACAUGCCAAAGGAGGUGAUACAAAUCCUCCUUUGCACGUGUAUUGGAACUGUGAGUGUAUGCAUGGUGCAUGGCCACACAGCAUCACCCAAAUCUGGGACAGCAUCCAGUCACCAUCCAUCCUUGUCUCUGGGAGAGACAAGGAACCAGAAAGACAGAGGAUGGAAACCAAGAAAGGAAGAGGUGGGGAAGAGGACAGGAAGAUUUGCUUCAGCCAUGUUAUGCUUCAGCUUCUACCGAAAGCAGCUACAUCCUUCUUGAUGGAGAUGGAUGAAUCCUAGUCCAUAUUCCUGUUUCAGAGAUGGGUUUCUCUCAGUGACUAGGGACAAGGACAUCCCUGGACAAAUGCAAGAGGCACUCCUAAGGAGGAGAAAGAAAACCUUCAUUUGAAACCGCAGGAAACCAAAGGCUGGGUGUAACCAGCAGCUUCAAAUCCAGACAAGAGUCAGCGUGUAACUUCAUGUGCUACUGUUUUCAUCGUUUAGCAUAUCACAUGGAUGGGUGGCACUGUAAAUGCACAGAGGAUCACUGUCAGAGGUGCUUUCACUGCCUGUGCAGAUCCAGACCUAAACUUGGGGAUGCGAUGGGGUCAUGCUGUGAGAGGACAUGGGUGGAGGUGAGGAGGUGGGGAUGGAUGUACUUUGCAAGUCAC